ACCCGGUUAGCUUAAUCGGUAGAGCAUGAGACUCUUAAUCUCAGGAUCAUGGGUUCGUGCCCCACGUUGGGCG
rnacentral:tRNA from 1 species